ensembl:lncRNA novel transcript
GUUCUGAGAAUUGGCUGUGAAAGCGGCAUUGCUGACCAGUGAGAGAGACCUAAUGAGGAGCAGGCCGGGGCAACCAAUGAAAUCGGAGAAGAGCGCUUGGGGGCGUGUCCGCCUGCUUUCAGCCUUUGGCAAGUUGGUGGGAGCUAAAAUCAGUCAUCUUCCUGCGAAGGCAUGAGGAGGAAAAGAGAGGAAGUAACUGAGGUGGGUACAUAAGGCAUGGAGAGUGAAGACCCCAAAGGGCUGUAAGACCUCAUAAGGAGUCCAAGUUUUAUUCUCAUUGCAACAGGAAGCAAUCAAAGGGAUUAGAGCAAGUGACCCCAGUUCAUUCAUUCUUUCUUUGUUUCUUUCUGUAUCUCUCUUUCUUUUCUUUUCUUUCUAUGUUUCUUUCUUUCUCUCUGUCUUUUUUCUUGACAGGGCCUUGCUCUGUCAUCUAGGCUAGAGUACAAUGAUGUAAUUAAUUAUGGUUCGCUGCAACCUUGAACUCCUGGGCUUAAGCAAUCCUCCUGCCUCAGCCUCCCAAAUAGCUAGGGCUACAGGCAUGCACCACUAUGCCUAGAUACUUUUUAUUUUUUGUAGAGACAGGGUCUUGCUGUGGUCUCAAACUCCUGGCCUCAAGUUAUCCUCCCGCCUCAGCCUCGCAAAAUGUUGGGAGUGGAGCCACCGUGCCUGGCCUCAAUUCUUGUUUAAAAUUAUCACUGGCUGAUGUGUGGAGUCACAAGAGUGGAGAGGGACAGCAAUUAGGA